rnacentral:misc_RNA from 1 species
UCCGGUUUGUCACCGGCAGUCUCAUUAGAGUGCUCAACUGAAUGUAGCAACUAAUGACAAGGGUUGCGCUCGUUGCGGGACUUAACCCAACAUCUCACGACACGAGCUGACGACAGCCAUGCAGCACCUGUGUGCAGGUUCUCUUUCGAGCACGAAUCCAUCUCUGGAAACUUCCUGCCAUGUCAAAGGUGGGGAUGACGUAAGUGACCUUUGC